rnacentral:rRNA from 1 species
UAAUACGUAGGUGGCAAGCGUUGUCCGGAAUUAUUGGGCGUAAAGCGCGCGCAGGUGGUUUCUUAAGUCUGAUGUGAAAGCCCACGGCUCAACCGUGGAGGGUCAUUGGAAACUGGGAGACUUGAGUGCAGAAGAGGAUAGUGGAAUUCCAAGUGUAGCGGUGAAAUGCGUAGAGAUUUGGAGGAACACCAGUGGCGAAGGCGACUAUCUGGUCUGUAACUGACACUGAGGCGCGAAAGCGUGGGGAGCAAACAGGAUUAGAUACCCUGGUAGUCCACGCCGUAAACGAUGAGUGCUAAGUGUUAGGGGGUUUCCGCCCCUUAGUGCUGCAGCUAACGCAUUAAGCACUCCGCCUGGGGAGUACGGUCGCAAGACUGAAACUUAAAUGAAUUGACGG